UCCUGGAAGGGUAGCGAGUUAUCUGAGUUGACUGUUCAUAGCCAGUUACAGAUUGAACUCCUUGCCCUACUCUUUCACCCCCUUUCACUACUGUACUUGACUAGUCUUAA
rnacentral:sRNA from 1 species